AUGGCGGGCAACGGCAACGACGGUCUGUGCGUGGCCAAGCCGCGGAGCGCUGCUGACCCGCUCAACUGGGGGAAAGCGGCGGGGGAGCUGUCGGGCAGCCAUCUGGAUGCGGUGAAGCGGAUGGUGGAGGAGUACCGCAGGCCGGUGGUGGUCAUGGAGGGCGCGAGCUUGACCAUCGCCCAGGUCGCGGCCGUGGCCGCGUCCGGCGGGGCCAGGGUGGAGCUCGACGAGUCCGCGCGCGGCCGCGUCAAGGAGAGCAACGACUGGGUCAUGGCCAGCAUGGCCAACGGCACCGACAGCUACGGCGUCACCACCGGCUUCGGCGCCACCUCCCAUCGGAGGACCAAGGAGGGCGGCGCCCUGCAGAGGGAGCUCAUCCGGUUCCUUAACGCCGGGGCUUUCGGCACCGGCAGCGACGGCCACGUGCUGCCCGCGGCCACCACGCGCGCGGCGAUGCUUGUCCGCGUCAACACCCUGCUCCAGGGGUACUCCGGCAUCCGCUUUGAGAUACUCGAGACGAUCGCCAUGCUGCUCAACGCCAAUGUGACGCCGUGCCUGCCGCUCCGGGGCACCAUCACCGCUUCUGGCGAUCUCGUCCCUCUCUCCUACAUCGCCGGACUUGUCACUGGCCGCCCAAAUGCCGUGGCUGUGGCUCCUGAUGGCACCAAAGUUAACGCCGCUGAGGCUUUUAAGAUCGCCGGCAUCCAGCAUGGUUUCUUCGAGCUGCAGCCCAAGGAAGGCCUUGCUAUGGUUAAUGGCACGGCGGUGGGCUCUGGGCUCGCGUCGAUUGUUCUCUUUGAAGCCAACAUCCUUGGUGUCCUUGCUGAAGUUUUGUCGGCCGUGUUCUGCGAGGUGAUGAAUGGCAAGCCAGAGUACACCGACCACCUGACUCACAAGUUAAAGCACCACCCCGGACAGAUCGAGGCCGCGGCUAUCAUGGAGCACAUCCUGGAGGGCAGCUCCUACAUGAUGCUUGCGAAGAAACUUGGUGAACUCGACCCAUUGAUGAAGCCAAAGCAAGAUAGAUAUGCUCUCCGCACGUCGCCGCAAUGGCUUGGCCCACAAAUUGAGGUCAUUCGUGCAGCGACAAAGUCGAUCGAGCGCGAGAUCAACUCCGUCAAUGACAACCCACUCAUUGACGUAUCUCGUGGAAAGGCAAUACAUGGUGGCAACUUCCAGGGCACGCCCAUUGGUGUGUCGAUGGACAACACGAGGCUUGCCAUUGCAGCGAUCGGCAAGCUCAUGUUUGCCCAGUUCUCGGAGCUAGUGAACGACUUCUACAACAAUGGCUUGCCCUCCAACCUCUCUGGUGGCCGCAACCCAAGCCUGGACUAUGGCUUCAAGGGUGCCGAGAUCGCCAUGGCGUCAUACUGCUCGGAGCUCCAAUUCUUGGGCAACCCUGUCACCAACCAUGUCCAGAGCGCGGAGCAGCACAACCAAGAUGUUAACUCCCUCGGAUUAAUCUCGUCUCGGAAGACUGCCGAGGCCACAUUCUGA
rnacentral:rRNA from 1 species